AUGAAAACAGCAUUUGAACUUUCAUCUUUAAAGACGUAACCUGCUGUACGGUGGACAGUAUUCAAAUGCAGUCGUCAGUGAGGAUGUCAGUCAUUCUCUGCAGCGGGACUUCAUGCACCUCACUAAAGGGAAAGCUAGCAGGUCUCGCUACUUCCUGUUGUGGCACUGAGCGUUGCUGCUGGAUGUAAAUCAGAAGCUGUGGAAUCGACCAGUAUGGACGUCAUUCCUCGCCGUACUGGGCUGCAAAAACCAGGCUGAGACUGAGAGGAGAGAUGAAACCAAAGAUGAUUUUCUUCUUCGGUGGUUUGUGGCUCCUUGGAGGUCCUACUCUGCUCCCUGGGCUCCUUCCUCUUCAGCCGGCUCUCCUUCAGCUCUGGAAACACCGAGGUUAUAAGAAUCCAGCUCAAUGUUCUCCUGUGGGCCUGACUUCUGCCCCCUGCUGGCCUGGAGAGACAUGACAACACAGAUCUAAGUUACUGCAUCACUCCUCUCUUCAGUUCAAUAUAAACAGGCUGAGUGCUUCAUUUCAACCAGUCCUCUAAACAACAAACAUGUGUUCAGUACCUUCAGGAUGAAAACGACGACAGCGACGACCAACAGCAGAGUCACCAGCAGGACGACCAGUCUGAUGAUAUGAACUGUUGGAUCUGACGAGACACAUUCAGUCAUCACAUUAGAUCACAUGACAUCAUGAGAACAACAGCUCCCAUCAAACAGAAACUUUAGUGACAUUAAAUCUCCUAAAAUCACUGAAGUGUGAAGCAGCUUGUUGAUUAUAAGUUCAUCUGAUCUCCUCUGUAUGCUGAUGAUGUUGGACAAAAACAACUCGUGUUUACAGCUGGUUUGAAAGAAUGAAUGAAAGUCUGCUGAUUGUCUCCUUAAAGCUCCUGUCUGGUUGAAAUGAUUCAACUGAUUGUUAACAAUCAAUAUCUUUACAUGCAGUUAAAUCAAAUGUGAUCCUGGUGAAGCUCUGAGUUCUCCUGAUGACAUUCAGCUCAUCAUGUAAAGUCCUGUUUAUUAUCAUUAUAGUGCUUAUCUGGCGUCACUGACUCGUUUGCUGUCUUUUACUUUUCACUACAACACAGUUGUUAUGGUUCAAUAACAUUAAAGAAGCCGGGAAGGAAACAGUUUACAGUUCCUUCAUCAGA